GUUAUUGCGAAGCUCGCCGCUCACAAUGGUGGAGAGAAAAGUUGAUUCUGAAAGCAGAGCCUUUCAGCACCAGUGGGAGGCUGAAUAUAUGUUUACAGACAUGCUGGUAAAGCCGUGCGUCUUAUUAGUGGAGCUAAUGUGGCUGUAAGGAAUUUAGUUUAAGACGGCGAGACAAAACGUCAGGAUAAGCUGAAAAACCUAAACGCAGAAACUACAGGAAGUAGAAUCUAACAUUUCAGCAGACGUUUGUCAUCAGAGCAAAACCACAAAGUGAAGCUGUUGUGAAAGCAAGUUUUAUCGUAGCAGAGGAGCCAAAUGAGCCCGGUACCACUCUGAAGAGCUGCAGGAUGAAGCUGUGUGACGUCUUCCGUCCAGACAAAACGCAGAUUUAGGCAAAUGUGAGCCUGAGCAGAAAUACGAUUGCUGAUCGGGUUUGUGAGACAGCCACCGAUUUAAGAACACAGUUGUGUGAAAGAAGCAAAAACUUCACUCCAUACUCUCUUGCUGUGGAUGAAAGUAGACAUGAUGGACACUGCACAGCUGGCCAGCUUCAUCCGUGGAGAGGAAAUAUUGAACAUUAAAUCGAUGCACGGGACAACGACAGGAAAAUACAUUUUUUAAAACGUAUGUCAAAGUGUAACGACGUGAAACUGUCCUGGGACAAACUUGUUGGACUUACAACAGAUGGAGCGCCGGUGCUGUGCGGUGAAAAAAGUAGUCAGCAGGAUGCGAGUAAAGAUGCAGGAGAAAUGUACCGGUCUCCACUUCAUCAGACAUCACCUAGACUCAGAGCUGGAUGAGGCCAGCACAGACAGCGGCCUAACCGACGAAGAUGAUGGAUCCAUGGUGUCAGGAAAGCCAGAAGCAGGGGAGCUGGAGAGGUACCUUUCAUGUCCAUUCACUGGAGGUGUGGAUCUAUUGCAUGGCGUUCCUCACAUCAAGAAGCUGUUGAUCAAAGUCAAUACAGCUCUUCAUGCAUCUGGAGCUUGUGAAGGACUUCUCAGUCAUGCUGGACUCCUGUUCACUGUUGCUGAAGCUUAACCAUCACCUCACUGAGUGAAGAAAGGGCACAUUUUUGCUAAAUAUGCAGAAAUAGAUGCACACUUAUACAAUUUAUGGUAAACUGAGCUGCCUUGUAUGUACAUAUGAUGAAGAUGCCUCGUUCUGUUUUCUCUGAGGCUGCUGUGCCAUUUGGAGCAAAGACGAAUAUAAAGUUUACAGCAUAUCUUGUCACUGGAAAUUGUUUGCACUGUUUAUAUAUUUAUAUUAUUUACUGCAGGUAUUGGUGAAAAAAGCUUUAUGUUGUGAAAAACUGAAAUCUGGAAAUUAGAAUCAUUGUGCCUUAUUUUGUUGAUGUUUUUACAUAUAUUCCUGUUGAAAAUAGUAAAAUUUGUAUAUUUAUUUAUUUUUGUUUGUCUGGUAACAUUUAUUGAAAAAAUAAAUCGGACAUUUCAAACAGUUA
ensembl:lncRNA